GAAGGAAAAACAGAUGAAAUAAGACCUGUGAAAGGGAAUACAGAAGAAGAAAGACCAGUGAAGGGACAUACCGAAGAAGAAAGACAAGUGGAAGGAAAUACAGGGGAAGAAAGACCAGUGGUAAGUAAC